UGGCUCAGGAUGAACGCUGGCGGCGUGCUUAACACAUGCAAGUCGAAUGAAGCACCCUCAUCCGUGGAAGGGAGUAGCUUGCUACGAACGGACACACCCGAGGGUGACUGAGUGGCGGACGGGUGAGUAACGCGUAGGCAACCUGCCCUUCAGAUGGGGACAACAUUUCGAAAGGAAUGCUAAUACCGAAUGACGUGCAUUGGUCGCAUGACCGAUGCACCAAAGGCCGGGCAACCGGUCACUGAAGGAUGGGCCUGCGUCUGAUUAGCUAGUUGGUGGGGUAACGGCCCACCAAGGUGACGAUCAGUAGCCGGUCUGAGAGGAUGAACGGCCACAUUGGGACUGAGACACGGCCCAAACUCCUACGGGAGGCAGCAGUGGGGAAUA
rnacentral:rRNA from 1 species